rnacentral:rRNA from 1 species
UACAGAGGUCCCGAGCGUUGUUCGGAUUCACUGGGCGUAAAGGGUGCGUAGGUGGUGAGGAAAGUCGGAUGUGAAAUCUCCAAGCUCAACUUGGAAAUGGCAUUGGAAACUACCUUGCUGGAGGUUUAGAGGGGGGACUGGAAUACUUGGUGUAGCAGUGAAAUGCGUAGAUAUCAAGUGGAACACCAGUGGCGAAGGCGAGUCCCUGGACAACACCUGACACUGAGGCACGAAAGCUAGGGGAGCAAACAGG